UACAUGGGCUCCAAGCGUUAUCCGGAUUUAUUGGGCGUAAAGGGUCUCCAGGUGGUCUGGUGAGUCGGGCGUUAAAUUCCGCUGCUUAACGGCGGAGCUGCGUUCGAAACGGCCAAACUCGAGGGAUGGAGAGGGAGUAGGAACUCACGGUGUAGGGGUGAAAUCCGUUGAUAUCGUGGGGAACACCAAAGGCGAAGGCAAACUCCUGGGCAUUUCCUGACACUCAUGAGACGAAAGCGUGGGGAGCGAACAGG
rnacentral:rRNA from 1 species